rnacentral:rRNA from 1 species
GAUGAACGCUAGCGGCAGGCUUAACACAUGCAAGUCGAGGGGUAGAAGUUGCUUGCAACUUUGAGACCGGCGCACGGGUGCGUAACGCGUAUGCAAUCUACCUUAUACAGAGGGAUAGCCCAGAGAAAUUUGGAUUAAUACCUCAUAGUAUAAUUGAAUGGCAUCAUUUAAUUAUUAAAGUUCCAACGGUAUAAGAUGAGCAUGCGUCCUAUUAGCUAGAUGGUAAGGUAACGGCUUACCAUGGCAACGAUAGGUAGGGGUCCUGAGAGGGAGAUCCCCCAAACGGGUACUGAGACACGGACCAGACGCCUACGGGAGGCAGCAGUGAGGAAUAUUGGACAAUGGGCGCAAGCCUGAUCCAGCCAUGCCGCGUGCAGGAAGAAGCAUCUAUGGUGUGUAAACUGCUUUUGUACGGGAAGAAACACUCCUUCGUGAAGGAGCUUGACGGUACCGUAAGAAUAAGGAUCGGCUAACUCCGUGCCAGCAGCCGCCGUAAAAC